rnacentral:rRNA from 1 species
GGAUGUGAUGGGGAGCGAAAUUUAGUAGCGAAGUAGCUGAUUUCACACUGUCAAGAAAAGUCUCUAUCGAGGUUAAAGGUACCCGUACCGCAAACCGACACAGGUGGGUGAGGAGAGUAUCCUAAGGCCAGCGAGAGAACUGUUGUUAAGGAACUCGGCAAAAUGACCCCGUAACUUAGGGAUAAGGGGUGCCACCAUCAGGUGGCCGCAGAGAAUAGGCCCAAGCGACUGUUUACCAAAAACAUAGGUUUCUGCUAAGUCGCAAGACGAUGUAUAGGAGCUGACGCCUGCCCGGUGCUGGAAGGUUAAGGGGAUCUGUUAGAGCAAUCGAAGCAGUGAACUUAAGCCCCAGUAAACGGCGGCCGUAACUAUAACGGUCCUAAGGUAGCGAAAUUCCUUGUCGGGUAAGUUCCGACCCGCACGAAAGGCGUAACGAUUUGGGCACUGUCUCAACAACAGACUCGGUGAAAUUGUAAUUCCGGUGAAGAUGCCGGAUACCUGCGACAGGACGGAAAGACCCCAUGGAGCUUUACUGUAGCUUGACAUUGGGUCUUGGUACUACAUGUACAGGAUAGGUGGGAGGCUUUGAAACCAGGACGCCAGUUUUGGCGGAGCCAUCCUUGGGAUACCACCCUUGUAGUACUGGGACUCUAACCAUAGGCCAUGAAUCUGGUCUUGGGACACUGUCAGGUGGGCAGUUUGACUGGGGCGGUCGCCUCCCAAAAGGUAACGGAGGCGCUCAAAGGUUCUCUCAGUACGGUCGGAAAUCGUACGUAGAGUGUAAAGGCAAAAGAGAGCUUGAUUGCAAGACAUACAGGUCGAGCAAGGAUGAAAAUCGGACUUAGUGAUCCGGUGGUUCUGCGUGGAAGGGCCAUCGCUCAACGGAUAAAAGCUACCCUGGGGAUAACAGGCUUAUCUCCCCCAAGAGUCCACAUCGACGGGGAGGUUUGGCACCUCGAUGUCGGCUCAUCA